GGUUGUGGAUCAGUGGUAGAGCACUUGCCUACCACAUGCGAAGCCCUGGGUUCAAUCCUCAGCACCA
rnacentral:tRNA from 1 species